GUGCUCACUUUAACAGAACGUAUACUAAGAUUGGAAUGAUACAGGGUAGAUUACCUGGCCUCUGGGCAAGGAUGACGCACACAUUCAUGAUGCAGACAUUUUGUAA
rfam:Canis lupus familiaris chromosome 17, whole genome shotgun sequence.